GAGGCAGGCAGUGUCCUAACAGGAGGUAUAGCACGCACAACAGCAGCUACUCAGUGAGGCUCAGAUCCUUCACCUGUGAAAGGAGCUAUAGUGUCCAUUCAACUUUAGUUCCACGUGGCCAUCUGCCCGGCUGCAAUGCGGCCUUUGGUCUCUGCGUUUGCAGUUUCUUGUCUUACUAAUUCUAGGUCUCUAGUGUAGAAGUUAAGAACUCUUUCCUUGGCUGCCAAGGCGCAGGCAGGCGACUUGGACUCUACCAGUCAGACACAUCACCUUGAGACUCCAGGAAAUUGGUCUGGGAAUGAGUGAAGAACAACUGGAAGAAAAAGAAGAAAGGCUGAUCUGGCGCACGGAGAGAAAGGGUGAUGGCUUCGCAGUUCCCCGGUAAGAGCCUAAGCAAUCUGAAAGUCACCCACACACACUGCACAGUUUACUUUCUUCCUUUGCUUUGAAUCACAAACCAGUUCUGCCACUGGAACCCUUGACAUCUCAGAAGGACAUGUUGCACUUUAACAAAGAAAAUCACUGUUAGCAACUUUCUCCAGAUUUUUGACAUGAACACUGGAGAAAACUCAGAACACAUGUUGAAGCCAAACCUACUCUCCACAGAAGAGAAGACCCUGUGGGAUUCAGGUCAUGGUCCCCAGAGACCUACUGCAAGAAGAUGGUAAGUAGGUCUGCCCCCUGCAGGAAGAAGGCUGUUGGAAGCCAGACUUUUAGCAGAAAGCUGCUAUCAUCUCUGAAGCCAUCUCGGGCUAUUUUCUUAUAGGUGGAACUUUUCCACCCUGACAAGAGACUUGUUUUCCUAGCAUGAUGGUUUUUUUGUUGUUGUUGUUUGUUUUGGUUCUUUUGUUUUUUGUUUGUUUUUUAGAACAUGCCUAAAUUUUAUUAUUUAAUACAAACAAACAAACAAACCACAAAACAGCAACAGUUUCCAUCAUUAUUUCCCUAACAACUUUCUGGGACACCACUAUUGCCUGGACCGACACUAUAGGUCUAGUAAUCCACCAACAGGCAAAUCUCAGCCCACCACAGCUGAACACAAUCUGAUAUCUUGUUUUUCUCCUAUACAUCCCGGAGCUGUGGUUAAGUGUCUCCAGCUGCACUCCCCAGCAAGUGCAUAUAUACCCACAGGUGCCUUUUACUCGAGACUUGAGACAUGAGACUUAAGCAGAUAGACUGUGUUGUCUCCAUUCUUCUUCACGUCUCUUGCCCCUACAUCCCCACUCUCUCUUGUGCAGACCCUGUUGACUGACCCAUGGACCAAGUCAGAAGGCUGUUUCAGAUAUACAGCAAUUAAGGCAAGUUAACCCAGCAGAGCAAUAAAUAACAAACAGAACUUAAUCCCAUCAAAUCCCAUCAGAUCACCUUUAAUUUAUUUUUUUAAUUAGGUAUUUUCUUCAUUUACAUUUCAAAUGCUAUCCCAAAAGUCCCCCAGACCCUUCCCCUACCCUCCCCUACCCACCCACUCCCACUUCUUGGCCCUGGGGUUCCCCCAUACUGAGGCAUAUAAAGUUUGCAAGACCAAGGGGCCUCUCUUCCCAAUGAUGGCCGACUAGGCCAUCUUCUGAUACNNNNNNNNNNNNNNNNNNNNNNNNNNNNNNNNNNNNNNNNNGUGAUUGGGUUACUUCGCUCAGGAUGAUGCCCUCCAGGUCCAUCCAUUUGCCUAGGAAUUUCAUAAAUUCAUUCUUUUUAAUAGCUGAGUAGUACUUCAUUGUGUAAUUUUAAAAUAGCUUAAUUUCCAUUUGCAUGAAGUUAUGAAUCAACCAAUUAAAUUUUAUUUAUUCCCUAAAUGAUGAGCACAUUGGAUCUAGGUAUUCAAUAACAUAACACAGGUGAAUAUAAUUCAGGUAUUUAUCAAGCAUAUUUAGUCUAUAAGGCCAAGAACAAAAUCUCGGGGGAUAAAAUUUAACUAAUUGAAUUUCCCAUAGUAUGCAGAAACUUAAAAAUGUGAGUAUGGACAUUUAGAAAGUGGACUUCAGUACCAUGAGGGUGGGAGCCUUACAAAGUAAGUACAAGCUUGGUAUCAUCUCUCUGGGGAUCCCCUGGAGCUGGAGGCAUAGGGAGCCAUGUGAUGUGGGUGCUGGGAACCUAACCAGGUCCUCUGCAAGAGCAGCAGUUGUUAACUCUGAAGCCAUCUCCCCAAUCCCAUAUAUAAAAAUGUAAUAGUUCAGGACACUAUAUUGCAAUAAAUGCCACAAAUAAU
ensembl:processed_transcript